CUCUUCCCAUUGGCUGAGAAGGGUCAUGAGGAUGAACUGUGCAGUCACCUGGCAGGAACCGGAACCCGCGGUUAUAAAGUAAAGGAACCCGAGAUCUGCGCAGGGGUUCCCUUUGCCGAUUUCUCUCACCUCACCUUUCAAACCUAAACUCGAGCCUACUGUUCACCGGCCUAGCAUUGCUCUCGCCAUGGCUCUCAGCGAUGCUGACGUGCAAAAGCAGAUGAUGCCAGAAGUCCGGGGAGCCUUGUUUGGUGCAAAUGCCAACAGGAAGUUUUUGGACUAAGCCUUCAGGAGGUGGAGCUCGUCGUCAGCUCUCCUGCUGUGAUGUGGAAGCUUCUGAUAUUUGAAGAAACACGAAUGUCUCUGUAGCUUCCUCUUCACUGCCCCAGUAUUGCUCUGUAUUUAUCAGCGAUGCCCCUCUGUCACUCAUGCCUUGCCUAAUUGUUCACAAUGGUGGAAAGCUUCAUGUAAUAUGAUCAGGACCCACCUCCAGUUCUUCUGAAAGUGUGACAGUGUCCAGCCGGUUCUGCAGCACUAGGGGAGGGGGCAGAUGGUGGUUGCAUGGGCUUCCUGGGUCUCCACUCUCCGUCUGGCCUAAAGGUGAUGUAUUUGGUGUUUGGCCCUGCAGUCCCCACUCUUGAGGCUUAAGGCGCAUGUGGCACACCACUCCUUCCAGCAGUAGUCGCUUUACUGUUACCUGUUUAGGCCUAGAAGUUUUCCCUCAUCUGUAAAUGUGAUUUAAAAUCUAAGCCAUGAAUAUGCUUUAUUUAUUAAAAGAGUUAUGCGGAUUUAAUGUGAUUUCUAGUGUAAGGCACUACAA
rnacentral:lncRNA from 1 species